rnacentral:rRNA from 1 species
CCUACGGGGUGCAGCAGUGAGGAAUAUUGGUCAAUGGACGCAAGUCUGAACCAGCCAAGUAGCGUGCAGGAUGACGGCCCUCCGGGUUGUAAACUGCUUUUAGUUGGGAAUAAACGGCGGCUCGUGAGCCCCGUAUUGUAUGUACUAUCAGUAAAAGGACCGGCUAAUUCCGUGCCAGCAGCCGCGGUAAUACGGAAGGUCCGGGCGUUAUCCGGAUUUAUUGGGUUUAAAGGGAGCGUAGGGCGGCGUGUAAGUCAGCUGUGAAAGUCCGCGGCUCAAUCGUGGAAUUGCCGUUGAAACUGGAGGCCUUGAGAGCAGACAGGGAUGCCGGAAUUCAUGGUGUAGCGGUGAAAUGCUUAGAUAUCAUGAAGAACUCCGAUCGCGAAGGCAAGUGUCCAGGGUGCAACUGACGCUGAGGCUCGAAAGUGCGGGUAGCAAACAGGAUUAGAUACCCUUGUAGUC